rnacentral:rRNA from 1 species
GAUGAACGCUGGCGGCGUGCCUAAUACAUGCAAGUCGAACGCUUCACUUCGGUGAAGAGUGGCGAACGGGUGAGUAAUACAUAAGUAACCUGGCAUCUACAGGGGGAUAACUGAUGGAAACGUCAGCUAAGACCGCAUAGGUGUAGAGAUCGCAUGAACUCUAUAUGAAAAGUGCUACGGGACUGGUAGAUGAUGGACUUAUGGCGCAUUAGCUUGUUGGUAGGGUAACGGCCUACCAAGGCGACGAUGCGUAGCCGACCUGAGAGGGUGACCGGCCACACUGGGACUGAGACACGGCCCAGACUCCUACGGGAGGCAGCAGUAGGGAAUUUUCGGCAAUGGGGGAAACCCUGACCGAGCAACGCCGCGUGAAGGAAGAAGUAAUUCGUUAUGUAAACUUCUGUCAUAGAGGAGGAACGGUGGAUAUAGGGAAUGAUAUCCAAGUGACGGUACUCUAUAAGAAAGCCACGGCUAACUACGUG